UAAGUGGGAAACGAUGUGGGAAGGCCCAGACAGCCAGGAUGUUGGCUUAGAAGCAGCCAUCAUUUAAAGAAAGCGUAAUAGCUCACUGGUCGAGUCGGCCUGCGCGGAAGAUGUAACGGGGCUAAACCAUGCACCGAAGCUGCGGCAGCGAACGUAUCACCCAAGACAACUUUACGGAGUUGACGAUUGACGGAGCGAAGCGACGUCAAAGCGUUCAUUAAAGUCGAGUUGGCUUAGGGAUACGUUCGUUGGGUAGGGGAGCGUUCUGUAAGCCUGUGAAGGUGGCCUGUGAGGGUUGCUGGAGGUAUCAGAAGUGCGAAUGCUGACAUAAGUAACGAUAAAGCGGGUGAAAAGCCCGCUCGCCGGAAGACCAAGGGUUCCUGUCCAACGUUAAUCGGGGCAGGGUGAGUCGACCCCUAAGGCGAGGCCGAAAGGCGUAGUCGAUGGGAAACGGGUUAAUAUUCCCGUACUUGGUGUUACUGCGAAGGGGGGACGGAGAAGGCUAUGUUGGCCGGGCGACGGUUGUCCCGGUUUAAGCGUGUAGGUGUGUGUUCCAGGUAAAUCCGGUUCACUUUAACACUGAGGCGUGAUGACGAGGCACUACGGUGCUGAAGCAACAAAUGCCCUGCUUCCAGGAAAAGCCUCUAAGCAUCAGGUAACAUCAAAUCGUACCCCAAACCGACACAGGUGGUCAGGUAGAGAAUACCAAGGCGCUUGAGAGAACUCGGGUGAAGGAACUAGGCAAAAUGGUGCCGUAACUUCGGGAGAAGGCACGCUGACAC
rnacentral:rRNA from 1 species